rnacentral:rRNA from 1 species
AGAGCGAACGCUGGCGGCAGGCUUAACACAUGCAAGUCGAGCGGGCGUAGCAAUACGUCAGCGGCAGACGGGUGAGUAACGCGUGGGAACAUACCUUUUGGUUCGGAACAACACAGGGAAACUUGUGCUAAUACCGGAUAAGCCCUUACGGGGAAAGAUUUAUCGCCGAAAGAUUGGCCCGCGUCUGAUUAGCUAGUUGGUGAGGUAACGGCUCACCAAGGCGACGAUCAGUAGCUGGUCUGAGAGGAUGAUCAGCCACAUUGGGACUGAGACACGGCCCAAACUCCUACGGGAGGCAGCAGUGGGAAUAUUGGACAAUGGGCGAAAGCCUGAUCCAGCCAUGCCGCGUGAGUGAUGAAGGCCCUAGGGUUGUAAAGCUCUUUUGUGCGGGAAGAUAAUGACGGUACCGCAAGAAUAAGCCCCGGCUAACUUCGUGCCAGCAGCCGC